AAGUAAGUAUAAGUGUGGUAUUAGGUAGAAGUGAAUACCAAUUACCAACCUAUUUAUAAUUUAUUUUAAAUUGAUGUAAAAUCCCUGAUUCUUAUUAUUUGAUUAACGAAAAACAAACAUCUUAGUUUUGUUUCUAAACAAGUGUUUAUAUCACUCACAGUUGUUUGCAUAUUAGCAAAGAUAUCAUGGAAAUAACUUGCUAACGCAAAUUCUUCGUUCAUAACUAAAAGCGUAAACAAACGAUCAACGCUUUUAACACGUUUUCCUUCCGAAGACGUAAAUAAAAUUAACCUGAGUCUAAACUUAGCAAGAACUCUCGAAAGUUAAUAAUCUCACGCAGAAUCGGAUAAAAACCACAUCAAUAACAAUGUGACAUCAAUUUUCAACGCAGACCUAAGUAUUGAAACAAAAAAUAAUGACGUCCGUACUCCGUAGACUUGUUGAACUGCGUGUACACCACAUGUGAGUAUACUCGUAUAUAAGGAGUGGGAGGCAUCGGCGAUCAUCAGAUUGUUGUGAUAAUUCAAAGCGAUCGCACGCACGGUUAACAAAUAAAUAAGUUAUUAUCAAUAGUGAAGAUGUAUUCAAAUCCAUUUGAAAGGAAACACUCGGCGUUGAGGCAAGCCUUAGACAGGCUUAUUAAAGGAGAGACGAGACUGAGCUUUAGAAAGAAAAGCAACCUUUCGAAGAGAGUAAGCAGCGAUUUAUCCAUGUCUUCAUCAAGCAGUAACGAGAGCGUCCAUAAAUUCUUCGGAAAAAGAUGAAGUUGUGGAUGGUUCAGUGUUUGUGCUAAUUUGCUGUGGCCCACUCAAUAAAAAGGUCGAGAGGGGUCAUUUAACUGGUUUGGUGACGUCAAUGCUACUACAUCUAACCAUACUGAUGUGAUUAGUCGGCAUAGGUUUAGUUGGUAUAUUAUUAUCAUAACGCAAUGUCAUAGUAUGCUAAGAAGGUGCUCAGAUUGUUAUCAUAUAUUUAUCAAAUAAAUUAAUACUUUGAUAAA